UUCCGUAGGGUGAACCUGCGGAGGGAUCAUUACCGAGUUUACAACUCCCAAACCCAAUGUGAACGUUACCAAACUGUUGCCUCGGCGGGGUCACGCCCCGGGUGCGUCGCAGCCCCGGAACCAGGCGCCCGCCGGAGGAACCAACCAAACUCUUUCUGUAGUCCCCUCGCGGACGUAUUUCUUACAGCUCUGAGCAAAAAUUCAAAAUGAAUCAAAACUUUCAACAACGGAUCUCUUGGUUCUGGCAUCGAUGAAGAACGCAGCGAAAUGCGAUAAGUAAUGUGAAUUGCAGAAUUCAGUGAAUCAUCGAAUCUUUGAACGCACAUUGCGCCCGCCAGUAUUCUGGCGGGCAUGCCUGUCCGAGCGUCAUUUCAACCCUCGAACCCCUCCGGGGGAUCGGCGUUGGGGAUCGGGACCCCUCACACGGGUGCCGGCCCCGAAAUACAGUGGCGGUCUCGCCGCAGCCUCUCCUGCGCAGUAGUUUGCACAACUCGCACCGGGAGCGCGGCGCGUCCACGUCCGUAAAACACCCAACUUUCUGAAAUGUUGACCUCGGAUCAGGUAGGAAUACCCGCUGAACUUAAGCAUAUCU
rnacentral:sRNA from 1 species